UGGGGUAUGGUGUAAUUGGCAACACGGCUGAUUCUGGUUCAGUUGUUCUAGGUUCGAGUCCUAGUACCCCAGCAA
rnacentral:tRNA from 3 species